rfam:Chlorocebus sabaeus isolate 1994-021 chromosome 15, whole genome shotgun sequence.
UGGCGCCCGAACAGGGACCUGGAAACGAGGGACUCCGUGAAGAAGAGGACACCAAAGGACGGUCGACCACUAACAAAAACAAAAGAAAGUGAUCUCUUCCGAUCACCGCGGGAACCUGCCGCGUCAGAAUCGAAGGUAAGUGACGCUUCCGAAAUGGGACAAGAAUUAAGCCAACAUCGGAUCUAUGUAGGACAANNNNNNNNNNAAGACAGGCGCAGUUCCCGGGGGGUCGUUUUCUUGUCAUAAAACAAU